rnacentral:rRNA from 1 species
AGAGUUUGAGUUAUGGCUCAGGAUGAACGCUAGCUACAGGCCUAACACAUGCAAGUCGAGGGGUAGCGUGAGGGAAGCUUGCUCCCUUGACGACGACCGGCGAAUGGGUGAGUCACGCGUGUCCAACCUGCCCCGUGCCCGGGGAUAGCCCUUGGAAAUGAGGAUUAAGACCCCGAGUAUGUGGCGCUUCCGCAUGGCGGCGCCAUGAAGCAGGCACGGGAUGGGGACGCGUCGGAUUAGCUUGACGGCGGGGCAACGGCCCACCGUGGCGACGAUCCGCAGGGGUUCUGAGAGGAAGGUCCCCCACACUGGCACUGAGACACGGGCCAGACUCCCACGGGAGGCAGCAGUGAGGAAUAUUGGUCAAUGGGCGGGAGCCUGAACCAGCCCAAGUAGCGUGCAGGACGACGGCCCUACGGGUUGUAAACUGCUUUUCCGGGAGGAUAAAGUGAGCCACGCGUGGUUCAUUGCAGGUAUCCCGGGAAUAAGGACCGGCUAAUUCCGUGCCAGCCGCCGC